rnacentral:hammerhead_ribozyme from 1 species
GUUUGGAUGACGAGUCCCGAAAAGGACGAAACAUUUGUCCUUGAC